rnacentral:rRNA from 1 species
GAUGAACGCUGGCGGCGUGCCUAAUACAUGCCAGUCGAGCGAACGGACGAGAAGCUUGCUUCUCUGAUGUUAGCGGCGGACGGGUGAGUAACACGUGGAUAACCUACCUAUAAGACUGGGAUAACUUCGGGAAACCGGAGCUAAUACCGGAUGAUAUUUUGAACCGCAUGGUUCAAAAGUGAAAGACGGUCUUGCUGUCACUUAUAGAUGGAUCCGCGCUGCAUUAGCUAGUUGGUAAGGUAACGGCUUACCAAGGCAACGAUGCAUAGCCGACCUGAGAGGGUGAUCGGCCACAGUGGAACUGAGACACGGUCCAGACUCCUACGGGAGGCAGCAGUAGGGAAUCUUCCGCAAUGGGCGAAAGCCUGACGGAGCAACGCCGCGUGAGUGAUGAAGGUCUUCGGAUCGUAAAACUCUGUUAUUAGGGAAGAACAUAUGUGUAAGUAACUGUGCACAUCUUGACGGUACCUAAUCAGAAAGCCACGGCUAACUACGUG